UUAAAAUUGGAAUGUGACACGGUU
rnacentral:piRNA from 1 species